GGAAUAUUGGACAAUGGGCGCAAGCCUGAUCCAGCCAUGCCGCGUGCAGGAUGACGGUCCUAUGGAUUGUAAACUGCUUUUAUACGAGAAGAAACACUGCUACGUGUAGCAGCUUGACGGUAUCGUAAGAAUAAGGAUCGGCUAACUCCGUGCCAGCAGCCGCGGUAAUACGGAGGAUCCAAGCGUUAUCCGGAAUCAUUGGGUUUAAAGGGUCCGUAGGCGGUUUAAUAAGUCAGUGGUGAAAGCCCAUCGCUCAACGGUGGAACGGCCAUUGAUACUGUUAGACUUGAAUUAUUAGGAAGUAACUAGAAUAUGUAGUGUAGCGGUGAAAUGCUUAGAGAUUACAUGGAAUACCAAUUGCGAAGGCAGGUUACUACUAAUAUAUUGACGCUGAUGGACGAAAGCGUGGGUAGCGAACAGGAUUAGAUACCCGAG
rnacentral:rRNA from 1 species